rnacentral:rRNA from 1 species
UAAUCCGACCUAGGCUCAUCUGAUAGCGCAAGGCCCGAAGGUCCCCUGCUUUCUCCCGUAGGACGUAUGCGGUAUUAGCGUUCGUUUCCGAACGUUAUCCCCCACUACCAGGCAGAUUCCUAGGCAUUACUCACCCGUCCGCCGCUGAAUCAGAGAGCAAGCUCUCUUCAUCCGCUCGACUUGCAUGUGUUAGGCCUGCCGCCAGCGUUCAAUCUGAGCCAGGAUCAAACUCU